UACAGAGGGGGCAAGCGUUAUUCGGAAUUAUUGGGCGUAAAGGGCGCGUAGGCGGCUUUGCAAGUGACGGGUGAAAUCCCACGGCUUAACCGUGGAACUGCCUGUCAGACUGCAUGGCUUGAGACCAGGAGAGGUGAGUGGAAUUCCCAGUGUAGCGGUGAAAUGCGUAGAUAUUGGGAGGAACACCAGUGGCGAAGGCGGCUCACUGGACCGGUACUGACGCUGAGGCGCGAAAGCGUGGGGAGCAAACAGG
rnacentral:rRNA from 1 species